rnacentral:precursor_RNA from 1 species
GACCUCCGUGGAUGGCGUAUGAGGAGCCAUGCAUAUCCUCAUACAUAUAUAAUUAUGUUUUGGUACCAAUUGAAUUGUGUUGAUGAGCUUGUUUUGUAGAAGUCUCUGUUCAUUGCCUCAUCAUGUGUAGAAGAGAUUAGAGGUACCUCACGAGUCCAUCAUAUGCUUUUUUCUUGUGACUUCCCAUAUAUUCCUUUGUUAGAUAUUUUGGUGACGUUCUCUC